CAGGUACUGUCCCACUGGCCUCAAAGCCUCCAUACAGCCUCUCCCUUGGGCCACCCCUGCCACAACUCAUCAAGGCCAAGGCACCUUACCUUCCUCAGCAGUAUGAAACAUGUGUGCAGUGGUUGAAUGCUAAGUCUAGAAAUGCAGAAGAGUCUAUGAAGUCUGAUGAAUCAGCAGCCAGGGUACAGUCUAUUUUCCAAAUAACACAAGAAAGUUGAGAUAUUUUCAUACCCAGGACCUGUGAAAUACUCACUCUCCAGAGUUUUAUCAUUGACACUUUGGUUACUUCAUUGAGCUGAAAUUUAAAAGAAAAU
rnacentral:lncRNA from 1 species